AAUAAAUAUAGUUUUACACUGUUUAUAUCUAAUAUUUAACCAUUCGUCUCGUUUGAAAAUAUUUUAUAAUUAUUUUUAUUAUUAUUAGAUGAUAAAAUAUGAAUAAUACUUUGCGUGUGACUAUUUUUUUUAUUUUUUUAUAAAUUUUUUAAAUAAAACAGAGUGUUAAACGUUGGAUACGGAGAUACUCACGACUACACUUAUU
rnacentral:pre_miRNA from 1 species